GAUGAACGCUGGCGGCGUGCCUAAUACAUGCAAGUCGAGCGAACGGACGAGAAGCUUGCUUCUCUGAUGUUAGCGGCGGACGGGUGAGUAACACGUGGAUAACCUACCUAUAAGACUGGGAUAACUUCGGGAAACCGGAGCUAAUACCGGAUAAUAUUUUGAACCGCAUGGUUCAAAAGUGAAAGACGGUCUUGCUGUCACUUAUAGAUGGAUCCGCGCUGCAUUAGCUAGUUGGUAAGGUAACGGCUUACCAAGGCAACGAUGCAUAGCCGACCUGAGAGGGUGAUCGGCCACACUGGAACUGAGACACGGUCCAGACUACUACGGGAGGCAGCAGUAGGGAAUCUUCCGCAAUGGGCUAAAGCCUGACGGAGCAACGCCGCGUGAGUGAUGAAGGUCUUAGGAUCGUAAAACUCUGUUAUUAGGGAAGAACAUAUGUGUAAGUAACUGUGCACAUCUUGACGGUACCUAAUCAGAAAGCCACGGCUAACUACGU
rnacentral:rRNA from 1 species